rnacentral:rRNA from 1 species
UACGGAGGGUGCGAGCGUUGUCCGGAAUCACUGGGCGUAAAGGGCGCGUAGGCGGCUCAUGAAGGCUGUGGUGAAAGUCCGGGGCUCAACCUCGAAUCGGCCGUGGCGACUCGUGGGCUGGAGCACUGUAGAGGCGGGUGGAAUUCCGGGUGUAGCGGUGGAAUGCGUAGAGAUCCGGAAGAACACCAGUGGCGAAGGCGGCCCGCUGGGCAGUGGCUGACGCUGAAGCGCGACAGCGUGGGGAGCAAACAGG